GCAUAGUGUAUCCUUGUACUUGCCUCACAAUGUACAAAUUCAUGCAAUGGCAGGCAAAGAAAGCCCUUCAAUUAAUAACUGUGGAAGUGCUCAAAAGAACACUAAGUUGAAGCGAGGCAGGUCAAGUUCCAUUGCGAACGUCGAGCCAUAAAGAAGAAGAAGAAACCACGGACAAACAGACGUAAAACUUCGAACAUUUUUCGAUACAAAUCAUAGUCACGGAUUGCCUGUGAUGAAACUAUUUCAACAAGUAGUGUUCGGCUUCACAUAAUGAGGUUACAAUUGGCUUCUUUAGCGGUGUUGAGAUAAUUCCAUAUUCUGAAUCUGCGUGCAAAACUGAGCUGAAAUCCAAAUUUUCAUGAAUUUUGGUGCCGGGAAGCAAUUUAAAAAUCAAUUUGAAGUUUGUAUGGGAGCGAUUUGUCGAAUCACCUCUCGUCGCAUUUUGUACUGGGUGGAGCUGUCAAACAGUUACCCAGCUGUCAAAAGGUGAUUUAAAAAAAUAUCUUUGAAAUUGAUUUUAGGUACCAAAAUAAAGUUCUGAAAAAAAUCAUA